rnacentral:lncRNA from 10 species
CAGACUGUAGCAUCAGCCUCAGGGGGAAAUUCUUAAAAAUGCAAAUUUCCCAGCCGCACCCUGGACGCAUUCACCCAAAAACUCUGGGAGUGGAGCCCAGCAACUGAGCCAUGCUAAGGUUGGUGAGCCGCUGCUCUGGAACAUUGAUCCCUCCCAAACUGCAGCAAAGCAAGCACCUGGGUGUAGCUCUGGCUGUGUAGGUGCUACUACAAUCUGCUGGAGUCACUGCUUGUCGGCAGAGAUGCCGUGGGAGCUGGCCUGGGUGCCUCCACGUUGGCCGUCACCACCAGGCAGUGGCCUUUGGCCUGGAAUCGAAGCCGGAACCAGCCACGUCCUGAUUCCACACUCCCUUGAGGAGCCAGCCAGCUCCACAUUUACUCAAAGAAUCCGAAGGGCACCAAGUGGAUGCUCUGCCACACGAUUGAAGAGGGCAAGCUGUCUGGGGGGUUUUCCACCUCUUUUCAACUCAACUAUUCUGAGCUGAAGUACUGGACCCGUUUUGUUUUUCCUGUUUUUUCCUGCUUCGGUAAAUCUGGAAAAAUCCUGCAGGUCUGAAAAACUGUUGGACUUGACAGCGUGUGUGUAGCGCCACCUGGUGACCACAGCUUAUCAAAACAGCUUCCUUCUGGGGCUCUUGUGGAUGUACAUCAAAGGCUCCAGCUUCCAGACAGGUACACAUCCUGUUCUCACGCCCGGCCCACUUUCCCGUGGGAAUGUCAGCCACUCUGAUUUGCCUUGGCUGAAAACCUCCUGUCUUUGCAUGGAAAAAAACACAAAUAAUAUGAACAAGCAACAGAGUUUUCUUUCUCUCUUAAGUAACCAAGCAUUUAAAAUCUUCUAAAGCACACAUUUCCCUAAUUGAGAAAGGAAGCAGAAGAAAAAUUUCUGGCUGAAAUUAUAAAUCAUAAUAAAUGGUCGGAAAUACCUUCUCCCUUAGAUUCCUGGGGUCCUAGUGUAGAGGAGACUUCAGUUGCCCUUGACACUACAACAUCCUGACUAAAAGCCUGUUUCCAAGGUGAUAUUUGAUAGACAUGAAGGACCCAGGUGGAAAAGAAGGUAGUCUGGACGGCACGGCAAGGAGUGGAACACGCAGGCUAUGAGGUGUCAGCAGAAAUCAGUUCUGGUCCUGGCACUGCUACCAACUUGCUGUGUGACCUUGGGAAGUUACUUAAGCUUUGUGGAUCUCAAUGCCCCAGACUCGUUAACUUCUUUACUAUUUUUUCCCAUAAAUUCAGUGUUUCUGAAAGAUGUUGCCCACCAGAAUGCAUCUCUAAAAUAGGAGCUUAAUAAGCUUUCUGUCUUGAGGGAUCAGACGUAUAAAUGUCAGGCAGGCCUUCUGAUGAUCAUGAUGCAACCAGAGUUACCACAGUGAGUCCAUAUCACAGACAAAGGCGAAGACACUUGAUCCCUUCUUAACCUGGUCUCCCACCCAUGAAUGAUUUUUGUUAGGAUUUCAGCAUGUUGAAACUAACCCACAGACCCUAGUUACAACUUUCUCAGGGCCUGAGAGCUGGGGAAUCCCAGUUUGGGAACCAAAAAACUAGAAAAUCUUGAGGGCAACUCUGGCUGUCAUGAACUAAAACAGAGCAAAGAUGGAAGCCUGUGGUAUGUGCGUGCAGGUAGAAUCUCGAUUUGAGAAAUGGCGUUACAAGGAAUUAACACUUCAGAAAUGCCAGCUCUGUGCCAGGAUUUUUUUAUUUUAUUAUGUAUAUUUGUCAUGGACAACAUGUUUUGGAAUAUGUAUACAUUGUGGAAUGGUUAAAUAAAGCUAAUUACAUAUGCAUGUGCUCACAAAGUUAUCAUUUUAGGGGUGACUUAAAAUCUCUCAGUGAUUUUCAAAAAUAUAUGUUAUUAAUCAUAGUUGCAAUGUUGUACAAUAGAUCUCUUGAACAUAUAUUCCUCUUGUCUAACUGAAAUUUUAUGUUCUUUGACCAUCUCCCCAACUGCCCCCCAACAAGCCUGAAAGCCCUGGUAACCCCUAUUCUACUCUCUACUUCUUUGAGUUCAACUUUUUAAGAGUCCACAUAUGAGAUCAUGCAGUAUUUGUCUUUCUGUGCCUGACUUAUUUCACUUAGCACAAUGUCCUUUGGGUUCAUCUAUGUCACAAGCAACAGGAUGUCCUCCUUUUUAAAAGACUGAAUAGUAUUC